AGAGACCUAGGUGGUCUAAUCUAGUCUACAGACCUGGAUGACCGAGUCUAGUCGACAGACCGGGAUGGCCUAGUCUAGCCUAGAGAUCUAGAUAGUCUAGUGUAGUCUAGAGUCCCAGAUAGUCUAGUCUCGAGAUUUAGAUGGCCUAGUCUAGUCUACAGACCUAGAUGUCCUAGUCUAGUCUAAAGACCUAGAUAGUAUAGUCUAGAGACUGAGAUGGCCUAGUCUGGUCUAGAGACCUGGAUGGCCUAGUCUACAGAUGCAAAUGGCCCAGUCUAGUCCAUAGACCUAGAUGUCCUAGGCUAGUCUAGAGACCUGGAUGGUCUAGUGUGGCCUACACACCUGGAUGGCCUAGCCUAGCCUACAGACCUAGAUAGUCUAGUCUAGAAAUUUAGAUGGCCUAGCCUUUUCUAGAGACCUGGAUGGCCUAGUCUAGUCCAGAGACCGAGGUGGUCUAAUCUAGUGACCUUGAUGGCCUAGUCUAGUCCAGAGACCCAGAUGGUGUCUAUCUGCUCACAAAACAGUGUAGAUCUGACGUAACCUCCUCUUCUUUCAAAUGAAGGAAACUUGUCAAUCAGCUUUUCCAUGAUCCUGAAGUGACUCCUGAUCACAGGGAUCAAUUAUGUGGCUAUAAUAUACAUCAAUACGUAUAGGAUGUAUGUGUAAUUGCAGACGGUUCCUAAACUGCAGCCCUGCCAUGCAGACACAACCUCAGAUAUUGUCCAGUUUGUCACCAGGCUGAUGAGGAAGACCCUGGAAGCAGGCUCCCAAAUCACAGGCAGGAAGAGCUCCUGCAGGGUCAGGAAGGGACUGCUCCCAUGUCCCGGCAUACACACUGUGAGACUGCAGAUGCACUUUUGUGAGCACUUCAAGGAAGAAAGUGGCCUUUUAAAGGAACUCAGCAUCACAGAUCACAUCCCCUUGUGUUAUGCUGACUAACCACAAGAAUUGUAUGAACUGCUGUGAAAAGGUGACAAAAACUCUUCAAGUGCUGGGGCUUGAGACAUUGAAGAACACGACUAUGACUAUAAGUGGUAAAAGAAGACUUAAAAACCAGGCUUAUCUGCAUAUGAAUUUAGCUGCCCAAUGAGGAACAUGAACAAAAUCCACUUUUGAAGAAAACCCUGCACUGUUCAGACUGUGAGGAGAGAGAUGCUGUUCCUAAGGUGCUCCUAACAUGCAACAGAGCAAAACUAAAUUUGUGAAGUUUGUCAAGGAUCCAAGUAACAGCAAUACCUUUAACUUGUUUUGUUCAUCAUGUCUCAGUCACCCAGUAGC